CUUAGUGGCGGACGGGUGAGUAACGCGUGGGUAACCUGCCUCACACUGGGGGAUAACAGUUAGAAAUAGCUGCUAAUACCGCAUAAGCGCACAGUUCCGCAUGGAACGGUGUGAAAAACUCCGGUGGUGUGAGAUGGACCCGCGUCUGAUUAGCCAGUUGGCGGGGUAACGGCCCACCAAAGCGACGGUCAGUAGCCGGCCUGAGAGGGUGAACGGCCACAUUGGGACUGAGACACGGCCCAA
rnacentral:rRNA from 1 species